rnacentral:ncRNA from 1 species
UGGAUAGAGGCGCGGUGCUCAUGCGUACUGCGGGACAAGGCCAGGCAGCCGUCCUGCGGGAGAGGGUGUACCGCCGAAGAGAGGCUUGCCUGCCUGGGCGGUCUAUUCUGGGGCGCAGGAGAACAUCCUGCGGACUGUCACGAGUACGUGGAGCGCUAUCCGA